rnacentral:lncRNA from 1 species
AUGUUACGUGUGUGUUACAGAUGCGAGCACCUCCUAACAAGCCCCCUGGUGGAAGGGGCAGCAGCACGUUGCUCGGGAGCUGUCAGAGACACCAGCAGCUUGCCGCAACUGCUGGAUAUGUUAUGUGUGGUCCAACUGGCAGCCUGCAGGCCAGCUCCAGGCUGCUGUGCUGAUCCAUCCGGCCCACCAGCUUCUUCUCUGGAAGAGAUGGAGAACAGCUGUUUGGAGCAACGACUGCACCCUCCAGCCGCCAAGCUUGUCCUCCAACACAAAGGCAAAACCCUGCUGCUGUUGACAGGAGUCACAGUACGGCAUCCUUGGAGGGCUGGGGGAAGCACGAGUUCACAGUGGUGCAGCAGUGGACAAGCUGGUUCAGAAAUCCUCUGGCAGCAGUUUGAAACCGGUGAGCAAAAUGACAACCUGCACUUGGGUUACACUACGUGGGUGAGAAGGUAAAUGUCAUUUAUGAUUCACUGCUCAGCAAAAUCCCUGGUGGAGUUGAAAGAUCCCUCUGAAAAUACCUUCUAGGAAAAAAGAAAAGAAGGAUGGCAAAUGAAAGAUUUGUCUUCAAGCAGGAGAGACAAGAUGUAGGUGCGAUAGUGAUCAGUUUGAAUUCCUCAGCACGCCCACGAGUACUUACUCGUAAUUUUUGUGCAACAGAGUGUGAUGAAGAUGAGAAGUUGAGUUGAUGAAUGCUUGAUAGAACAAAGUGUUUAAGAUCGCAUGUAGGACAGACUGGUGGGUGUCAAAUGAGCGUAGAUACGUGGUGGAGUUACAAAUGUGUCAAAAACAACAGCGGGUCUUAAACUGGAAAGGCCGAAGAAAGUGGAAGGUAGAAACGAAGCAAGUCUCUGGUCCUUGGCCAAACUAAAAAGAGAUACUUGGAAAAGAACACCUGAAGUUUGGGAAAUCGAAUGAGACUUUCCUAUAAGGGCAAAAAGAAUAUAAGAGAAAUCAUAAAAAUGAUGUGCACUGAGAUUCUGUUGGCAAACCUUUCCCCAGCAUUGUGUUCUCUAUCUAGACACCGAUAAUUUAUCACAGGCUGCUCAGAACUGGCCUCCCACUCCAGGUCAUUCAGAGGCAUCAAAAAGAAAACACGAAAGAACACUAUGCAGGAAAAAUACGCAUUUAUGUUACUGCUUUACCUUAAGCAGUAACAAAUUAUUGAUGGUAAAAUGCCUCCAUAUCUUACGGCUCCAUUAAGGAGCUUUGGAACAAAGCCUUCUUUAAGACCAUUGCAGAAAAAGAACUGAUGGCUGCUCCCUCUGUAAGUACAGGGAUGCAAAGGCAAACAGGAGUAACAGUACACAGAACUGGAAUAGGGAGAGGCUUAAGAGAAAAGCAUGUAAGUUUAUAUGUCAUAACGCUGAGGAGAUUUUUGAAGUCUAAGUGGAGGAAAAUAUUGAUGAGCCCAUCUAACAGCACCGUAGUAAACCCUGCAAAAUCCAGUGCUGUUUGAAAUUAGUCAGUGUACAAGAUACAAUAGCAUAUGGAACAGAUGCUGGAGUUCCGCUACAAGAGGAAUACUAAUUCUGGAGAUGUGCCUGAUCCAGAUGUCCUUUCAUAAAGCACAGAGCUGCACCGACUGCCUUAGAAGUCAUAGUAAAUCCCUAAAUAUAAUAACACGCAGCAACAACACAAAAUAUGCUAGUGGCAAAUUUGCGAGGCACGGUGGUUCUUCUACUCCACCUUCAUGUGCACGUAGUGCUGUUGAUCACUCCUUUUCUUUUGCCAUGAGGGGAGAUUGGGGUUUUAGCACUGCUGAUAUUUUCUAAUUCAUGAAAGCAGUCAUACUUCACUCACUGUGAGUUGUAUGAGCCAGGUGAGGAGAGUGUUCCUCGAGUCUGCACAAAAGGGAGCUGUUGACUAAUUCUACCUGCUAGUCCUGGGGGGACAAAACCCACUAUUUUGGGAUCUGUGGUGGUUUGGAGUAUGGAGGUCCAUGGUUUUACUUUUGUGAAGAGCACCCUUGGCAGCACUAGGAAAAGGUGUUAUGGCAGAAACUGAGUCAGCUUAUUUAGUGACAGGUAAGUUCACUGCGAAGGGCUGGGAGUCCUUACAGCUGUUUGGCAUGAAAAUCCAACGAAGGCUUUUUUUUUUUUUUUUUUUUUUUUACUUCAUACAGAAAGAAUUGUUUGAGUUAAAAAUAAUAAUAAAAAAAAUUAAGGAAAAAAAAAGAGAUUUAUU